rnacentral:rRNA from 1 species
UUCCGGUUGAUCCGCCGGACCCGACUGCUAUUUGGGUGAGGAUAAGCCAUGCCAGUCGUAUGGGAUACCUAAACUUCCCAUGGCAAACUGCUCAGUAACACAUGAUUAACUUACCCUAAAGAAAAUAAUAACCUCGGGAAACUGAGGAUAAUAAUUUAUAGUUGAGAAGGCUUGGAAAAGUUUUUCAAUGAAAUGGAUAAGAAAAAUGGUUCUUAUCUGCUUUAGGAUAGGAUCGUGGUCGAUUAUGGCUGUUGGUGAGGUAACGGCUCACCAAACCUAUAAUCGAUAAGGGCCGUGAGAGCGGGAGCCCUGAGAUGGGUCCUGAGACAAUGACCCAGGCCUUACGAGGCGCAGCAGGCGCGAAACCUCCGCAAUACACGAAAGUGUGACGGGGUUACCCAAAGUGUUCAUUUAUGGACUGUGGUAGGUGAGUAAUGUCCCCUACUAGAAAGGAGAGGGCAAGGCUGGUGCCAGCCGCCGCGUAAAACCAGCUCUUCAAGUGGUCGGGAUAAUUAUUGGGCUUAAAGUGUCCGUAGCCGGUUUAGUAAGUUCCUGGUAAAAUCGGAUAGCUUAACUAUCUGUAUGCUAGGAAUACUGCUAUACUAGAGGGCGGGAGAGGUCUGAGGUACUACAGGGGUAGGGGUGAAAUCCUAUAAUCCUUGUCGGACCACCAGUGGCGAAGGCGUCAGACUGGAACGCGCCUGACGGUGGGGGACGAAAGCCAGGGGAGCGAACCGGAUUAGAUACCCGGGUAGUCCUGGCCGUAAACGAUGCACACUAGGUGAUGGCACGGCUAUGAGCCGUGUCAGUGCCGAAGGGAAACCGUUAAGUGUGCCGCCUGGGAAGUACGGUCGCAAGGCUAAAACUUAAAGGAAUUGGCGGGGGAGCACCACAAGGGGUGAAGCCUGCGGUUUAAUUGGAGUCAACGCCGGA